UACGUAGGGUGCGAGCGUUUGUCCGGAAUUACUGGGCGUAAAGCGCACGUAGGCGGAUCUUUAAGUCAGAGGUGAAAUCCCCAAAGGCUCAACCUUGGAACUGCCUUUGAUACUGGGGAUCUUGAGUCCGGAAGAGGUGAGUGGAACUGCGAGUGUAGAGGUGAAAUUCGUAGAUAUUCGCAAGAACACCAGUGGCGAAGGCGGCUCACUGGUCCGGUACUGACGCCUGAGGUGCGAAAGCGUGGGGAGCAAACAGG
rnacentral:rRNA from 1 species